rnacentral:tRNA from 1 species
GCGCCCGUAGCUCAGUUGGAUAGAGCAGCGGUUUCCUAAACCGGAGGCCGGGGGUUCGAGUCCCUCCGGGCGCACCA